rnacentral:rRNA from 1 species
AGGACGAACGCUGGCGGCGUGCCUAACACAUGCAAGUCGAACGAGGUCCAUCCGGUAGCAAUACCGGAGAAGAUCAAGUGGCGAACGGGUGAGUAGCACGUGAGCAACCUGCCCCGAAGACCGGGACAACACCGGGAAACCGGUGCUAAUACCGGAUAUCCCCACCGAGUCGCAUGGCUUGGUGAGGAAAUGGAUUCCGCUUCGGGAGGGGCUCGCGGCCUAUCAGCUAGUUGGUGAGGUAACGGCUCACCAAGGCUUCGACGGGUAGCUGGUCUGAGAGGACGAUCAGCCACACUGGGACUGAGACACGGCCCAGACUCCUACGGGAGGCAGCAGUGGGGAAUCUUGCACAAUGGGCGAAAGCCUGAUGCAGCAACGCCGCGUGAGGGACGAAGGCUUUCUGAGUUGUAAACCUCUUUCAGCAGGGACGAUUGUGACGGUACCUGCAGAAGAGCCCCGGCACUACGUGCCAGCAGCCGC